rfam:Tauraco erythrolophus contig77161, whole genome shotgun sequence.
GUCUCUGUGGCGCAAUGGGUUAGCGCAUUCGGCUGUUAACCGAAAGGUUGGUGGUUCGAGCCCACCCAGGGACG